rnacentral:rRNA from 1 species
UACGGAGGGUGCGAGCGUUGUCCGGAAUCACUGGGCGUAAAGGGCGCGUAGGCGGCCUGAUAAGUCGGGGGUGAAAUCUUGCGGCUUAACCGCAAGGCUGCCUUCUAAACUGUCAGGCUAGAGCACAGUAGAGGCAGGUGGAAUUCCCGGUGUAGCGGUGGAAUGCGUAGAGAUCGGGAAGAACAUCAGUGGCGAAGGCGGCCUGCUGGGCUGUUGCUGACGCUGAGGCGCGACAGCGUGGGGAGCAAACAGG